rnacentral:rRNA from 1 species
AGCGAACGCUGGCGGCAGGCUUAACACAUGCAAGUCGAGCGGGCAUAGCAAUAUGUCAGCGGCAGACGGGUGAGUAACGCGUGGGAACGUACCUUUUGGUUCGGAACAACACAGGGAAACUUGUGCUAAUACAGGAUAAGCCAUUACGGGGAAAGAUUUAUCGCCGAAAGAUCGGCCCGCGUCCGAUUAGCUAGUUGGUGAGGUAAUGGCUCACCAAGGCGACGAUCAGUAGCUGGUCUGAGAGGAUGAUCAGCCACAUUGGGACUGAGACACGGCCCAAACUCCUACGGGAGGCAGCAGGGGGGAAUAUUGGACAAUGUGCGCAAGCUGGAUCCAGCCAUGUCGCGUGAGUGAUGAAGGCCCUAGGGUUGUAAAGCUCUUUUGUGCGGGAAGAUAAUGACGGUACCGAAAGAAUAAGCCCCGGCUAACUUCGUGCCAGCCGCCGCGGUAA